AUUGAACGCUGGCGGCAUGCUUUACACAUGCAAGUCGAACGGUAACAGCACUUCGGUGGCUGACGAGUGGCGAACGGGUGAGUAAUACAUCGGAACGUGCCUAGUAGUGGGGGAUAACUACUCGAAAGAGUAGCUAAUACCGCAUGAGAUCUAAGGAUGAAAGCAGGGGACCUUCGGGCCUUGCGCUACUAGAGCGGCUGAUGGCAGAUUAGGUAGUUGGUGGGAUAAAAGCUUACCAAGCCGACGAUCUGUAGCUGGUCUGAGAGUACGACCAGCCACACUGGGACUGAGACACGGCCCAGACUCCUACGGGAGGCAGCAGUGGGGAAUUUUGGACAAUGGGCGCAAGCCUGAUCCAGCAAUGCCGCGUGCAGGAUGAAGGCCUUCGGGUUGUAAACUGCUUUUGUACGGAACGAAAAGCCCUCUUCUAAUACAGGAGGGUCAUGACGGUACCGUAAGAAUAAGCACCGGCUAACUACGUG
rnacentral:rRNA from 1 species